rnacentral:misc_RNA from 1 species
GAUGAAGAACGCAGCGAAAUGCGAUAAGUAAUGUGAAUUGCAGAAUUCAGUGAAUCAUCGAAUCUUUGAACGCACAUUGCGCCCUUUGGUAUUCCAAAGGGCAUGCCUGUUCGAGCGUCAUUUGUACCCUCAAGCUUUGCUUGGUGUUGGGCGUCUUGUCUCUAGCUUUGCUGGAGACUCGCCUUAAAGUAAUUGGCAGCCGGCCUACUGGUUUCGGAGCGCAGCACAAGUCGCACUCUCUAUCAGCAAAGGUCUAGCAUCCAUUAAGCCUUUUUUUCAACUUUUGACCUCGGAUCAGGUAGGGAUACCCGCUGAACUUAAGCAUAUCAAUAAGCGGAGG